UCAUAAUAGCUCAGGUGGUACAGCAUGAGAAUUUGAAUCACAGGGUCAUGGGUUCAAGCCUCAUGUUGGGUGAA